rnacentral:lncRNA from 1 species
CCUGCUGCAAGAUCGUGAUUUUUUUAGCAAAAUACUGAUGGUUAUGGAUGUACAGAAAUUGCAAUACUCACGUACAUCAAUUGACCAAUUACGAUUACGCCCAGUUCAAUAUUUCACUUGUUUAACCUUAUUCUUAAUUUUUAUAUAAGAAAAUUGUACAAUUUAGCACCCCAUUUUUCAGUCUUUUUUCAGUUUAUUUAUAUUUUUUUCUUCUUUUUUUUUGGGGGGGGGGGUAUUUUCUUUUCUGUUAAUCGCCUCGCUUAUUUGGGUAAUUUCUAAGAAAGAUCAGAGAUGCAAGCGUCAAGCAAGAUAUGUUAAAAGUGAAGAAGUAUCUACAAUGAAAAGCUGUUAAAUUGCUUUUUUUGGUAGUAUCUUUUAAAAUUUGGUAAGAUUAAUAUGGUACAACCAACUAAUAAAGAU